GAUGAACGCUGGCGGCGUGCCUAAUACAUGCAAGUCGAGCGAACGGACGAGAAGCUUGCUUUUCUGAUGUUAGCGGCGGACGGGUGAGUAACACGUGGAUAACCUACCUAUAAGACUGGGAUAACUUCGGGAAACCGGAGCUAAUACCGGAUAAUAUUUUGAACCGCAUGGUUCAUAAGUGAAAGACGGUCUUGCUGUCACUUAUAGAUGGAUCCGCGCUGCAUUAGCUAGUUGGUAAGGUAACGGCUUACCAAGGCAACGAUGCAUAGCCGACCUGAGAGGGUGAUCGGCCACACUGGAACUGAGACACGGUCCAGACUCCUAAGGGAGGCAGCAGUAGGGAAUCUUCCGCAAUGGGCGAAAGCCUGACGGAGCAACGCCGCGUGAGUGAUGAAGGUCUUCGGAUCGUAAAACUCUGUUAUUAGGGAAGAACAUAUGUGUAAGUAACUGUGCACAUCUUGACGGUACCUAAUCAGAAAGCCACGGCUAACUACGUG
rnacentral:rRNA from 1 species